rnacentral:rRNA from 1 species
AUUGAACGCUGGCGGCAGGCCUAACACAUGCAAGUCGAACGAGUGGCGGACGGGUGAGUAAUGUCUGGGAAACUGCCUGAUGGAGGGGGCUAACUACUGGAAACGGUAGCUAAUACCGCAUACCAUCAGAUGUGCCCAGCUGGGAUUAGCUUGUUGUUGGGGUAACGGCUCCCCAGGGCGCCGAUCCCUAGCUGGUCUGAGAGGAUGACCAGCAAAACUGGAACGUAGACACGGUCCAGACGCCUACGGGAGGCAGCAGUGGGGAAGAUUGCACAAUGGGCGCAAGCCGGAUGCAGCCAUGCCGCGUGUAUGAAGAAGGCCUUCGGGUUGUAAAGUACUUUCAGCGGGGAGGCGUUACCCGCAGAAGAAGCACCGGCUAACUCCGUGCCAGGCGCCGCGGUAAUAC